ensembl:lncRNA
AAGAAAUCGAACAAAUAACUUAAUGUACACACAUCCCAUUUAUUUCUGCGCCAGAAACUAAAGUUACCUGAUUGAGAUUAAUGUCAGAACUUCCUGUUUUGUGCAACCAAGGUUUGAUCUUUUUUGGUCUAAGCACUGCCUUAUUAGUAGUUUGAGAACUUGUAUGGUGCAGCAGGAAGCUACCAGAGGCAAAAUGUGCACUUGCUGUUAAGACAAAGGUUAGAAUCAGGCAAAACAGUACCUGCUGAUAAUGAUAUGGAUGCCCACUGGACAUAGGCAGCAUCAGGUGGCUUACUUCAUGUGAUGAUUUGUGUCCUGCCUGAUGUGAUGCCUGCAUGUGUUUGAGACAUAAGACUCUAACAUAAAGCUACAUCAAGAUUUGGAAAGUUUUAAGAAAAUCAAAUGAUUUCCCCCCCCAUUUUGAAUAAACCAUUGGCUUAUUUCUUCAGACUGUGUGAUAAAAAAUAGGCAUACAGGAAAUGAAUCUGAUCAAUGAGGGAAGAACAAUUGUUUUUACCAGAUCACUUUUCUGAACAUGGCUGCAUUCCAAUCCCUUUCCAAAGACUGAACUCAUAUAUCCACUGUGGAAAAGAAAUGUUCUUAUUCAUGAGUGUGAGGAUUCAUACUUACCAUGCUGCAGUUUUGCCAGAGGACUGGUGAUUGUCAUACAGCAAGCAGUUCAAACCAGGAAUCCCCCUGGGCUGCUCACCAGUUCCCAUGAAUAUCUCAGCACCUGGUCGGAUCCAACAUCCAAACAGACAAAGCAAAACAAUGCAGAAUGUUGUAGCAGGAAUGAUAAGUGUGACAGUGGAUGUGUGAAAUCCAUAAAAAUGCCAAAUGAGUGGCUGUGCUGGGAGGGAAUGGAUGAAGCAGUAGCAGGGUGGAAAAGUGAACUGAGAUUAGAGUCCAAGGCCAAUUGCACAGGAAGGAUGGAGAGGGGUGAGGGGGAGUUCAGAGGGCAGACAGGCAGUGUGAAGGAAAGAACAACUUCCAGAUGUAGAAAAUUGCAGGGAGGAGACCAAAAGGAA